UCUUCUACGUUUAUGCGUAGCUCGUAAUCGAUACCUCACACUCUAGACACGUAGCCAACGGUAACGGCAAAAAAUUCUUAUAUGGAUGGUUUCUUACAGUAUGGUUCUGCUCACUCCAUGGGCGUAAUUCAUGGCAGGGCCCCAAUUAUCAAAACUGGAGUUUAUUCGAAGUUUUUGUUCCUUUUUAAGGUUUUUGUUGCUUUUUUCAGAUUUUUUUUGUCAUGAAUCCAGCAUCCUGAGCCUGUUUUGCCAGUGUUUUGUUUUUGCUCUAACCUGAAGUUCGUUUUUCCUGAGUUUUCCUGAACACAUCCCAGCUGAUUCUCCAACAACUUACACCUGCUGCAAUCUGCACACCCGGUCCUGAUUAUCAUCCUCUGCACCAUAUAAGCCGUGACCAGACAUCCAUUCCCUGCCGGAUCGUUAGCGUAAUCAUUACUCACCUGGAUUGUCACUCACACCUGCCUGGCUGUCUACUUCACUGCAGCACAUUUGGAUCAGCACAAAACCCUCCAGCCUUCCAGCCUCACUCCCUGCCGACCAACUGGACCAAAUCAUUUCCACAUUCAAUUUCCAAAUAAAUACUCACCUUGUAAUUUCUA